UCCGGAGCGCGUGCUUCAGAACGAUGUUGUGAAAGCUCACCCCCUUGAGGCGGGCAGUGCGGAUGUACUGCGCGGUCAUCACCUCGGUCAUCGAGGCGCGGGUCAUCCGGGCGAUGUAGCCCAUGCCGUAGAGCGCAAUGGUGAGAACCGGCAGGAAGAAGUUUUCAAAGUUCGGGUUG
rnacentral:ncRNA from 1 species